AAGUCGUAACAAGGUUUCCGUAGGUGAACCUGCGGAAGGAUCAUUAUUGAAUUUAAUGUAGAGCUGGUUGUAGCUGGCUCCCUUGGAUUAAUUUCUUUGGGGGCAUGUGCACACCUUCUCUUUCAUCCACACACACCUGUGAACCUGUGAGAUAGUAGUUUGGGGACUUUAAUGGACCCACUUCUGUCUACUUAAUUCAUAUAAAAUCAAUUUAAUUUAAAACGAAUGUAAUGGAUGUAACGCAUCUAAUACUAAGUUUCAACAACGGAUCUCUUGGCUCUC
rnacentral:misc_RNA from 1 species